GAAAGUAAGUAAGAGCGAAUGGUGGAUGCCUAGGCUCACAGAGGCGAUGAAGGACGUGAUAAGCUGCGAUAAGCUUCGGGUAGGUGCAAAUGACCUUUGAUCCGUAGAUUUCCGAAUGGGACAACCCGUCAGUAUAUAAUUACUGUCACUCCAUUAUUUUUAUGGAGAGCAAACCGAGGGAACUGAAACAUCUUAGUACCUCGAGGAAAAGAAAAUAACACAUGAUUCCCUUAGUAGUGGCGAGCGAACGGGGAUAAGCCCAAACCAGGGUUGUGGCAACGCCUCCCUGGGGUAGUAGGACCGCUUUAUAGGCAUGAAGGAUGUGACCGGAACCAGAUGGAACUAUGGACCAUAGAAGGUGAAAGUCCUGUAUGGGAAGCAUCCUGAGGCUUUGCGUACUCCUGAGUAACGCGGGACACGUGAAAUCCUGCGCGAAUCCGCCGGGACCAUCCGGUAAGGCUAAAUACUCCUGUGAGACCGAUAGUGAACCAGUACUGUGAAGGAAAGGUGAAAAGCACUUCUAUUAGAAGAGUGAAAAAGUUCCUGAAACCAUUCGCUUACAAGCGGUCGGAGCCGUAUUUUUUCGGUGACGGCGUGCCUUUUGCAUAAUGAACCUACGAGUUACCAUCACCGGCAAGGUUAAGGCUUUAAGAGCCGUAUCCGUAGUGAAAGCGAGCCUGAAUAGGGCGUAUAGUCGGUGGGGGUAGACGCGAAACCAAGUGAUCUACACUUGGCCAGGAUGAAGUCCCGGUAACACGUGAUGGAGGUCCGAACGGAUAAGCGUUGAAAAGCUUCCCGAUGAGCCGAGUGUAGGAGUGAAAGGCCAAUCAAACUUGGAGAUAGCUCGUACUCCCCGAAAGGCAUUUAGGUGCCGCGUGCGAUGUUCUCCGUGAGAGGUAGAGCGACCGAUAGGUCAAGAGGGCUUCACCGCCUAUCGAGACCUGACGAACUCCGAAUGCUCACGGACUGCAGCCAUGCAGUAAGGGGGCGGGUGCUAAGGUCCGUCCCCGAGAGGAGAAGAAUCCAGACCGCCGUCUAAGGUCCCGAAAUUCUGUCUAAGUUAGUCUAACGAAGUCUGGUCCCCGUGACAGCUAGGAUGUUGGCUUGGAAGCAGCCAUUCAUUCAAAGAGUGCGUAACAGCUCACUAGUCGAGGGACUGUGCAUGGAUAAUACUCGGGUAUAAAGACAGAUACCGAAGGUGCGGGAUAGCAAUAUUAAAAGUAUCGGUAGGGGAGCAUUCCAUAUUAGCGUUGAAUGGUGCGGGAAACCUAUCCUGGAGCAUAUGGAAAAGCAAAUGUAGGUAUAAGUAACGAUAAGGAGGGUGAGAUUCCCUCCCGCCGUAAGACCAAGGUUUCCCGGGCAAUGUCAAUCAGCCCGGGGUCAGUCGGGUCCUAAGUCUCAGCCGAUAGGCGAAGGCGAUGGCAGAACCGGUUAAUAUUCCGGUACUGCCUGCAGGAGCGAUGUGGAGACGGAAGAGUGACACAGCCGCGGAGUGACGGAAAUCUCCGUUGAAGGACGUAUGUGCAGACGAGGGCAGGCAAAUCCACCCUUUGAGCAGAAAUCCGAUAGUAUCUUUUUGCUUUCGGGCAAAAGGAAUAGCGCUGGUAAUCAUAUUCCCGAGAAAAUCCGCUAAGCAUAUUCUGCAGGCACCCGUACCUCAAACGGACACACGUGGUCGGGUAGAACAUACUAAGGCGUUGAGAGAUUCAUGGUUAAGGAACUAGGCAAACUGACCCCGUAACUUCGGGAUAAGGGGUCCUCAUAGCAAUAUGAGGCGCAGAGAAUAGGUCCAGGCAACUGUUUAACAAAAACACAGGGCUGUGCAAACUCGUAAGAUGACGUAUACAGCCUGACACCUGCCCGGUGCCGGAAGGUUAAGAGGAGAGCUCAGAGUUUGUGCUCGAAGGUUUGAAUUGAAGCCCCGGUAAACGGCGGCCGUAACUAUAACGGUCCUAAGGUAGCGAAAUUCCUUGUCGGGUAAGUUCCGACCUGCACGAAUGGUGUAAUGAUCCGGACGCUGUCUCAACCAUGAUCUCAGUGAAAUUGUAGUAUCGGUGAAGAUGCCGAUUACCCGCGAUGGGACGAAAAGACCCCGUGAACCUUUACU
rnacentral:rRNA from 1 species